CAGAACAUAAACAGAAGAAAAUAUUUUUAUAUUUAAUGUUAAACAUCGUAAUGACAGCAGGUGCAUUUUGUGAAUGUUAAUGUUUUGUUGAUUGUAUAUCAAUCGAUCAGUAAGUUAAGACUAAGAAAUGUUUUAUUUGAAAUGAAAUGCACUAGAUGUUAUCGCACAGAGAUCACAAGUUUGUGCAUUUUGGAGACCGAUCAGCAGCACUGCAAAGAAAUCUGUUGGGACAGAGGGAUUCCAUAUCCAGCCAUCUGUUGGUCUGUAGAUAUCCCAAUGCUGAUGCUGGCAUUUUAUACAGCAGGGUAAAAAAUGCCCUCCUUAGCCUUUUUAUGAAAUUAUUUAUCAGUCUUUCCAUAACAUGAGAUGCAGAUGUAUAUAUUUACAACCUGUACCUUAACCUUCUCCAAAAACCACAUUUGGGGGCUUCACAAAGAAACAUAGAAGCACUGCUUCUGAUAACCCUUUCCUUAGGCAACUCUCAAUUUCUUGUUUCUUUGAUUGCAUAUUGUAGGUUUCAGAAAACCCAGAUUUCCGGCUUUAUUGCUCUUACUGGCUGUAAUAGCUUUAACACCCGACUUUCUCAGUCGGAGGUGGCUAGAGUUUGAAGGAGCCUUUGUGAUUGCAUAAGCUUGUGAAUUAUUUCAGUGAACACUGUGUGCUAGCAAGGUUUCCGUAACAUCUUUGAAACCACUUCAUUGACAUAUGCUUUGGGCCAUUCAUUGAAUGAACCCAGCCAGGAAAUGUGGGAUGAAUAUGCACUUUUUUUUUUUUUGUUUGGAUUAGGUGGAACACAAAAGGUUGAUUUUAUAUCAUAUCCCUGUAAAUAAAUCUCUCGUGAGUAAAAUAAACCAGGUUCCCCAACAGCAAAUGGUUUAUGAACAUAUUUGUCAUUUUUUUCCAACGAGUACAAUGUUUGUUUGAAUAUGGGAAAUGUUUGUCCCAAUGCUAAUUAUUAGAAAGUGUGUAGUAGGGCUGCUACGAUUAAAUCCAAAAUUGAUUUAUUCAAUCUAGUCCUUUCCUCAUUAUAUACAUCGAUAUAAAUACUGGAUAAUCUAUGCAGUAAUUGCACUUUUGAAAGUGCAUAGUUAAUAACAUUAUUUAAGUUUAUCAACUAAAUGUCACCGAAUGCCCUGACUUGCUGUUUACAUUAUUUCUGCCAAAGGCAAGCAGUGGGUAUCCUCUUUUCCUGAUCGUGUUGACUAGCAUCUGAUUUGCUGGUCCCAUCCUACCAGUGAAUCAGUUUUGAAAAUGCUUUGUAAGUAUGCAUCUCUG